AGUGAACGCUGGCGGUAGGCCUAACACAUGCAAGUCGAACGGCAGCACAGUAAGAGCUUGCUCUUACGGGUGGCGAGUGGAGGACGGGUAAGGAAUACAUCGGAAUCUACUUUUUCGUGGGGGAUAACGUAGGGAAACUUACGCUGAUACCGCAUACGACCUACGGGUGAAAGCAGGGGAUCUUCGGACCUUGCGCGAUUGAAUGAGCCGAUGUCGGAUUAGCUAGUUGGCGGGGUAAAGGCCCACCAAGGCGACGAUCCGUAGCUGGUCUGAGAGGAUGAUCAGCCACACUGGAACUGAGACACGGUCCAGACUCCUACGGGAGGCAGCAGUGGGGAAUAUUGGACAAUGGGCGCAAGCCUGAUCCAGCCAUACCGCGUGGGUGAAGAAGGCCUUCGGGUUGUAAAGCCCUUUUGUUGGGAAAGAAAAGCAGCAGGUUAAUACCCCGCUGUUCUGACGGUACCCAAAGAAUAAGCACCGGCUAACUUCGUG
rnacentral:rRNA from 1 species